GCCUGGGUUCAAUUUUUCAGGGUUUUCAGCUACUGGAAUUUUGGAUCAUUUGGAUAGCGAUUCUUCUUAUUACAUGGAUCAUGAAAUUUACUAUGAUGAAGAUUACGGUUACGGAGAUCAGGAAUUAGUAGUUGACUCCGAUGGGUCUCCAGCGAUCGGCGUUGAGAUUGAAGAUAACGAUGAAGAAAAAAUGAGUUUCUGCGAGGUGGGAUUUGUGUGGGAAGAUGUUGAAGAAGAUGAAGAUUGGUGUGUUGUGGAAGGAAUCUAAUUCAGUUCCUUCCAACUGUAUUUGUGUUAACCUGUUGAACAAAAAUUGUUACAUUUCUGUAAUUGUAUUUACUGUCAA
rnacentral:misc_RNA from 1 species